CCUUCGAUAGCUCAGUUGGUAGAGCGGAGGACUGUAGAUCCUUAGGUCGCUGGUUCAACUCCGGCUCGGACAGUGGU